CGCGUGUGUGAUGAAGGCCUUAGGGUCGUAAAGCACUUUCGCCAGAGAUGAUAAUGACAGUAUCUGGUAAAGAAACCCCGGCUAACUCCGUGCCAGCAGCCGCGGUAAUACGGAGGGGGUUAGCGUUGUUCGGAAUUACUGGGCGUAAAGCGCACGUAGGCAGAUUAGUAAGUUAGAGGUGAAAUCCCAGGGCUCAACCCUGGAACUGCCUUUAAUACUGCUAAGUCUUGAGUUUCGAGAGAGGUAAGUGGAAUUCCGAGUGUAGAGGUGAAAUUCGUAAGAUAUUUCGGAGGAACACCAGUGGCGAAGGCGGCUUACUGGCUCGAUACUGACGCUGAGGUGCGAAAGUGUGGGGAGCAAACCAGGGAUU
rnacentral:rRNA from 1 species